AUUCAGCUGACGAGUCCCGAAUAGGACGAAACUGUAGCCCUGGAU
rnacentral:hammerhead_ribozyme from 1 species